UACGUAGGGUGCGAGCGUUGUCCGGAAUUAUUGGGCGUAAAGAGCUUGUAGGCGGUUUGUCGCGUCGACUGUGAAAACCUACAGCUUAACUGUGGGCUUGCAGUCGAUACGGGCAGACUUGAGUUCGGUAGGGGAGACUGGAAUUCCUGGUGUAGCGGUGAAAUGCGCAGAUAUCAGGAGGAACACCGGUGGCGAAGGCGGGUCGCUGGGCCGAUACUGACGCUGAGGAGCGAAAGCGUGGGGAGCGAACAGG
rnacentral:rRNA from 1 species